rnacentral:rRNA from 1 species
GAGACAGCAGUCGCCGCGGUAAUACGGAGGAUCCAAGCGUUAUCCGGAAUCAUUGGGUUUAAAGGGUCCGUAGGCGGUUUAGUAAGUCAGUGGUGAAAGCCCAUCGCUCAACGGUGGAACGGCCAUUGAUACUGCUGAACUUGAAUUAUUAGGAAGUAACUAGAAUAUGUAGUGUAGCGGUGAAAUGCUUAGAGGUUACAUGGAAUACCAAUUGCGAAGGCAGGUUACUACUAAUUGAUUGACGCUGAUGGACGAAAGCGUGGGGAGCGAACAGGAUUAGAUACCCCAGUAGUCCCUGUCUCUUAUAC